UACGGGAGGCAGCAGUGGGGAAUAUUGCACAAUGGGCGAAAGCCUGAUGCAGCUAUGCCGCGUGUAUGAAGAAGGCCUUAGGGUUGUAAAGUACUUUUCAUCGGGGAGGAAAAAACAAAACUAAUAAUUUUAUUUCUUGACGUUACCCGAAAAAGAAGCACCGGCUAACUCCGUGCCAGCAGCCGCGGUAAUACGGAGGGUGCUAGCGUUAAUCAGAAUUACUGGGCGUAAAGAGCACGUAGGUGGUUUUUUUAAGUCAGAUGUGAAAUCCCUGGGCUUAACCUGGAACUGCAUUUUGAAACUGAAAUACUAGAGUAUCGUAGAGGGAGGUAGAAUUCUAGGUGUAGCGGUGAAAUGCGUAGAUAUCUGGAGGAAUACCUGUGGCGAAAGCGGCCUCCUAAACGAAUACUGACACUGAGGUGCGAAAGCUGGGGAGCAAACAGGGAUUAGAUACCCGU
rnacentral:rRNA from 1 species